rnacentral:rRNA from 1 species
GAUGAACGCUGGCGGCGUGCUUAACACAUGCAAGUCGAACGGGAAAUAUUUCAUUGAGACUUCGGUGGAUUUGAUUUAUUUCUAGUGGCGGACGGGUGAGUAACGCGUGGGUAACCUGCCUUAUACAGGGGGAUAACAGUCAGAAAUGGCUGCUAAUACCGCAUAAGCGCACAGAGCUGCAUGGCUCAGUGUGAAAAACUCCGGUGGUCUAAGAUGGACCCGCGUUGGAUUAGCUAGUUGGUGGGGUAACGGCCUACCAAGGCGACGAUCCAUAGCCGGCCGGGGAGGGUGAACGGCCACAUUGGAACUGGGACACGGCCCUGACUCCUACAGGAGGGAGCAGUGGUGAAUAAUGCGCAAUGGGGGAAUCCCUGAUGGAGCGACGCCGCGUGAAGGAAGAAGUGUCGCAGUAUGUAAACGUCAAGCAGCAAGGGAGAUAGUGACGGUACCUGAAUAAGAAGCCCCGGCUAACUACGUG